rnacentral:rRNA from 1 species
UACGAGAGGCCCAAACGUUAUUCGGAUUUACUGGGCUUAAAGAGUUCGUAGGCGGCGCGGAAAGUAGGGUGUGAAAGCCCUCGGCUCAACCGAGGAAUUGCGCUCUAAACUGUCGCGCUCGAGGAACCUAGAGGUGAGCAGAACUGAUGGUGGAGCGGUGAAAUGCGUUGAUAUCAUCAGGAAUACCGGUGGCGAAGGCGGCAUCCUGGACCGACAUUGACGCUGAGGAGCGAAAGCUAGGGGAGCAAACGGG